rnacentral:rRNA from 1 species
GAACUGAAGAGUUUGAUCAUGGCUCAGAUUGAACGCUGGCGGCAGGCCUAACACAUGCAAGUCGAGCGGAUGAAGGGAGCUUGCUCCUGGAUUCAGCGGCGGACGGGUGAGUAAUGCCUAGGAAUCUGCCUGGUAGUGGGGGAUAACGUCCGGAAACGGGCGCUAAUACCGCAUACGUCCUGAGGGAGAAAGUGGGGGAUCUUCGGACCUCACGCUAUCAGAUGAGCCUAGGUCGGAUUAGCUAGUUGGUGGGGUAAAGGCCUACCAAGGCGACGAUCCGUAACUGGUCUGAGAGGAUGAUCAGUCACACUGGAACUGAGACACGGUCCAGACUCCUACGGGAGGCAGCAGUGGGGAAUAUUGGACAAUGGGCGAAAGCCUGAUCCAGCCAUGCCGCGUGUGUGAAGAAGGUCUUCGGAUUGUAAAGCACUUUAAGUUGGGAGGAAGGGCAGUAAGUUAAUACCUUGCUGUUUUGACGUUACCAACAGAAUAAGCACCGGCUAACUUCGUGCCAGCAGCCGCGGUAAUACGAAGGGUGCAAGCGUUAAUCGGAAUUACUGGGCGUAAAGCGCGCGUAGGUGGUUCAGCAAGUUGGAUGUGAAAUCCCCGGGCUCAACCUGGGAACUGCAUCCAAAACUACUGAGCUAGAGUACGGUAGAGGGUGGUGGAAUUUCCUGUGUAGCGGUGAAAUGCGUAGAUAUAGGAAGGAACACCAGUGGCGAAGGCGACCACCUGGACUGAUACUGACACUGAGGUGCGAAAGCGUGGGGAGCAAACAGGAUUAGAUACCCUGGUAGUCCACGCCGUAAACGAUGUCGACUAGCCGUUGGGAUCCUUGAGAUCUUAGUGGCGCAGCUAACGCGA